CCACCCUUUAAUGUUUGAUGUUCUAACGUUGACCCGUGAUCCGGGUUGCGGACAGUGUCUGGUGGGUAGUUUGACUGGGGCGGUCUCCUCCUAAAGAGUAACGGAGGAGCACGAAGGUUGGCUAAUCCUGGUCGGACAUCAGGAGGUUAGUGCAAUGGCAUAAGCCAGCUUGACUGCGAGCGUGACGGCGCGAGCAGGUGCGAAAGCAGGUCAUAGUGAUCCGGUGGUUCUGAAUGGAAGGGCCAUCGCUCAACGGAUAAAAGGUACUCCGGGGAUAACAGGCUGAUACCGCCCAAGAGUUCAUAUCGACGGCGGUGUUUGGCACCUCGAUGUCGGCUCAUCACAUCCUGGGGCUGAAGUAGGUCCCAAGGGUAUGGCUGUUCGCCAUUUAAAGUGGUACGCGAGCUGGGUUUAGAACGUCGUGAGACAGUUCGGUCCCUA
rnacentral:rRNA from 1 species